AGUGGCCAAGAACGAGAGAGGGAGAAACAGCAGGAAAAAAAAAAUAAAGACCAGGGAAAGUAGUUUAUAAUAUGUAUACAUCUAAUUUCGGUGUUACAAUAAAUUGCACUCUGUACUUAAAACCCGGGUACUUUACACCCGGUAUACCGACGAACGUAUAUAAUUAUUAGGUACCUAUACCGACAAAUAUAAAUGAACAUUUAUAUUGAAAUAUAUGGCAAGUUUUAUGAGCGUGUAAACCAAUGGUUCCCAACGUUUUUCACAGAGGUGAGCAUUUAUCCCAGGGCGCGAAAUCUUCAGGUCGCAAAACGUACUGGUAUACAUAUAUCAGUAUUUUUACCGGUGGAUAUACAACACGUUUGGACGCCUCGCAGAUGUAUAAGGCCGUUAGAUUGACUGCCGAAAGGCGAUUCGGAAAUUUCUAACCUAACCUACGGUCAUCAUAAGACUUUUUUUCUAUUCAAUU